UGACACAGAUUAUAGACCCAAGCUAAUAAAAAGAUUCAUUUUAAAAGAUCAUUGUGCCAACAACAAAAUAAAUGAAUACUAAAUCAAUGAUUUACAAUAUAUCAGUGUCCUACACACUGCAAAAUAACAAAGUAACUAAAGGACCCCACUGCUUAUCUCUCCCUUCCUUUUAUUAUGCUGCAUUUUGUGACUCUGGGCAGUAUUUAUAUUCUGAACUGAAAUUCUAAUACCACAUAAAACAUGGUAGUAACAGCUUUAAAAAUCAUGAUGCCAAUUUCUUUACUAACCCUAAAAACACUGCGAACCACCAGGCUGUCCCCAAAUUGGUGUUGCCCCUGAGAGGAGGCAAAAGUCACACAUCAAAAAGGUCUGGACCUUUCUUCCAGUCGUGGCCCCCGUUGCAGGGUAUUUUCAACUGCAGCCUGAGGAGGAGCUGCAAAUGGGCAGUGGCUGGAAAAAUGGGACCUAAUCUCUGGCAUAGCAGGGUGUUUCCUGAUCAUUGUGCAAUUAACAAAAGGGGGGAUAGUAAGAAAGCAGGUGAGGGGAAUAGAGGAGGACCACGGAUUUUCUUUCUCUUAGGAAGAAAUCCUAUUUUAAGUACAAUAUCUUCAAGCCAGGGGAAGAUCAGAUGGAACUGUCGUAGGGUAGGGGGGUUCCUCAUGACCCACAUCCCCAGCUUUUUUACCAACAAUCUCCCACCCCAAAAAAUCACAUGAAAUAAUUGACAAACAUAUAUUAUCGUAAAUUGUGAAAUGUAAGUUUUUAUUGAGAUGGCGUAAAAUUUUUCUUGGCUGCACCUGCAGUAUAUGUAAGUUCCCAAGCUAGGGAUGGAAUCUGAGUCACAGCUUCAAUUUCAGUCACAGCUGCAGCAACACUGGAUCUUAACACACUGUGCCACAGCAGGUACUCUGAGAGGGUAAAAAUCAGCAAAAUGCUAAGAUAAAAAUAAAGACAAAGAUGAAAAAUAGAUACUACUAUCAGGUCAAGUUACCUACUAAUACUGUGGCCAAAUAUUCUCUCCUCUUCCCCCAAAGUAUUUUAUACGGUUAUUGUAUGAAGAGGGAAAGAAAUGUCAUGGACAUUUAAAACUCAAUUUGUCCUGCCUUCAAAAUACACAUAGGACACAGGAACCAAAUGAAAGCAGUCCCUGUGCCCAAACCUGCAACAAUUUGAGCAAAUAAAUUCAAAAAGUAGUAUGUGAUUAUAAUCUAAAGCAUAAAAUAAAUAUCUAUGAGUCCACACUAAUAUAAAUAAAUGACUGAAUAAAUCAAUAGCUGGAGAGGAAGGGACAGUUCUGCAUAGAAGGAGGUAAGGAAAGCAGUCACUCCACCCUCAAGGAGAUGGAGAGUCAUCCCUGCCCCCCAGGGCUCCCUCGGUGGGUGUCGGCUAUGCAUCGUACAUCCCUAACAAAGGAUGCAAGAUGAAAUGGCAAAAAGAGAACUUUACAGCAGAGAAGUCUGACAAACACCACCUCACCAAGUGAUCAAGCUUAACUCAACAGGGGUGAACUACGCGCAUGGUAUGAUACAAUGAGAAGGGCAUUGGACUUCUAGGGUCUUCCUCCCAAGAACCUAUAAACCAAGGGGAAUCAUGAAAAAAUAUCCAAGUCCAUUAGAAGAGCCUCUAGCAACCUACCCAAUUAGUACUCCUCGAAACUGUCAAGGUCAUCGAAAAUAAGCCCAGUCUGAAAUGACUGUCCUAGCCAAGCGAAGCCUCAGGAGACAUGACAAGGGAAAUGUAACGUGAUAUCCUGGAUGGGAUCUUGGAACAGAAAAAGAACAUCCGACAAAAAAAACUACGGAAAUCUGCAUAAAGUGUGGACUCUGGUUAAGAGUCAUGAAUUAAUGCUGGUUCAUUAACUUGAGCAAAUGUACCAUAAUAAUGUAGGCUGUUAUUAAUAGGAAAAACAGUAUGGGGUCCAUGGGAAUUCUGUAUUACCUCAUAAUUUUUCUGUAAAUCCAAAACUGUUCUAAAAUAGGAAGAUCAUUUUAAUGAAUGCCACACAAAUAUAAAUCAAUCAUGCCACUCAUGCUUCAGUUUAAUGAAGCAAUUACCUUUCACGCUAUUCUUUCUAUUAAACGUCAGCUGUGAUGAGAAAAACAAACCUGGCCUCCCAAUCAAACUACAUCUUUCUGCGGGGAUUUAGUUGUUAGAUUUUUAACCGUAUGAAGACAAAUUAGGUAAGCUUAACAAAACAUUAGCUUAACUCUAUAUAUACUUUUAUAUAAUUAGCUUCAUUCUGUGUCCUUGUAUUUGUUACAAACCAGGUGUACUGAUUUGAGGGAUAUUUCAAAAAUUGAAGAUGUCCUGCUUUAAAGGAUAGGUGAAAAACAAUUGCAGAAAACCCCAUUUUCCCCAUAGAUAGUUAGAAUAUUUUUCUCUCCAUUUUCCCAAAUUGCCAGCUUUGUACGCAGAGAAGAUGCUUGUCCACCUAUGGCAUAAAGAAAGUAAAGUUCUACUUUCUGUUGUGAGGUCACAGUGCUAGACUUGUGUCACCAUGAUUCCUUCUGUGGCAACAGACUGAUGUCAGAAAAGUGAUCAGAGCCACUUCCAGGCAGAACAGAAAUGCAUCUUCUGCUGCUUCCCUUCUUGGGAGGCUCACUUGGGAAGUACCUCCACCUCCGUAACCAUGACAGGGUCUUUAGGCGUAGGGAUCUCACUGAAGGAAGGUUCUGUCACUCUCCAUUUGUAGGGGUGUGAUUUCAGAGGAGAUUCUUCUCAAAACAGAUUAAAGCAGGGUAAAAUCCAAGUAGCCAGUUCCCAUUUGAUAAGAAAUCAUUUCAUUAAGAAGAGUAUAAUGAUAAUCUUUAAAUAUUUAAUUGCAUAUGUGUUCAUAUUCUGCACACCUUUAUGCUGAAUACUCUAUUACAGGAAAAGUUAAGAAUUAGUGCAAGAAAAGGAUCCACUUCAUCAUUUCCUUCAAGCUUAAACUACUUUCCAUCCUAAAAAGACAAAUAGUAAAAAUAGUAACAAUAUUCUGUGGUGCUUAACGUCUUUAGAAAAUCAUGUAUAAAAAUAUACAUAUAUAUAAUCUGCAUAUAUAUAUGCAUGUGUGUAUACAUUAUACAAAAGGAAAUGUUCUUGAGCUCAUGUGAAACUGGUUAUUUUUUCUUUAUAGUACAUCUGAAUGUUCAAAGUAUAUCACUUAUUUUAUUUAACAACCGUUUAUUUAGCAUCUGCUGUGUUCCAAGUCACUGUUGACACAAAACAAACAUAAAACACAAAACAGUUGACACUGUGAUGUAAAAAAAUUAAGGUACAGACCUAUCUUUCUUUGUGUGUGUGUGUGUGUUUCUUUUUAGGGCCACACUGGCAGCAUAUGGAAUUUCCCAGGCUAGGGAUCAAAUCAGAGCUUCAGCCUUCGGUCUACACCACAGCCAUAGUAACACGGGAUCUGAGUCAUGUCUGAGACCUACACCACAGCUCACAGCAACGCCAGAUCCUUUAACCCACUGAGUGAGGCCAGGGGUCAAACCCAUGUCCUAAUGGAUACUAAUUGGGUUCUUACCUGCUGAGCCAUGAUGGGAACUCCCAAAGAUAUGGUAUACAUACACAACGGAAUACUAUUCAGCCAUAAAAAAGAACAAAACAAUGCCAUCUGUAGCAACAUGGAUGGAACUAGAGACUCGCACACUGAGUGAAGUAAGUCAGCAAGAGAAAGACAAAUACCAUAUGAUAUCACAUAGCUGGAAUCUAAUAUAUGGCACAAAUGAAACUUUCCACAGAAAAGAAAAUCAUGAACAUGGAGAACAGACUUGUGGUUGCCAAGAGGGAGGGGGAGGGAGCGGGAUGGAUUGGGAAUUUGGGGUUAAUAGAUGCAAAGUAUUGCCUUUGGAAUGGAUUAGCAAUGAGAUCCUGCUGUAUAGCACUGGGAACUAUAUCUAGUCACUUAGGAUGGAGCAUGAUAAUGUGAGAAAAAGAAUGCAUACAUGUAUGUGUGAUUGGGUCACCUUGCUGAACAGUAGAAAAUUGACAGAACACUGUAAACCAGCUGCAAUGGAAAAAAAUGAAAAUCAUUAUAGAAGGAAAAAAAGAAGAGAAAACAGACACACAGGGAGAUCGCCCUGUGACAGGGCAGGAGUGGGGGCACAGAGAUUACAGCGAUGCAUCUACAAAGCAAGGAAAAUCAAUGCCCUGAAAUCAGCACCUUGACGUCAGACUUUCAUAAAUGCUCCAAGUCCUUUGUGUGUGGUCCUUUGUUACAGUGGCCCUAGGAAGCUAAUGGGGAUGGUGGGGAUGUACACAAACAGGAAUUUCUAUAAGAACGGAUGCGGUUUCAAUCGCGCCUUUUAAAAUGCUGGUACACACCAGCCCUUCCCUGUCAAAAUGGUGGUCCUCGAUGUAAAAUUAGAAAGCACAAACAAUAAAGACAGGGAUCCGGGAGGCAAUGGGAUUUCAUUAUUUUCUUGUUGUUUAUUGGCUGUUCCAAUACUUUGCACUGCAUUCGUGCAUUCAACAAGGUGGUUGAUCAUUCUGAUUACAGGAUACAGGUUUUGUUAGUGAGCUUGCCAGCCAUGGCUAAAAAGCAACAUAAAACUAAAGAUGUGUGAAAUGGAAUUACCAGUCACAGACCGGAGAGGUUUCCCAAACAUAAGCAAGCUGCCUCCGACAAGCCUCUUCCUUCCCCUGACUUUCCCCUUGAUUGUCCAGUCUUUUCAAAGUCAAACUGCAUGGAAGUGCUCUAAUCUUUGAAUAUGCAGCUGCUUCAGACUUUAUACACCAUGCAGGCACCCAAUUUAUUCCUGUUCCAAGGAGCACAUCCAGGGAGGUAACAGCCGCCUGACUGUAAUGCCUGGGCCACAACAGGCCCUCAGAAGAGUGAUGACUAACUGAUUAAACGCUUAGCAUCCCAACCCGAGGAAACCAUGGAGCCAGGGAUUAAGACUCCCCCACAGCAAGCAUAUCACCCAGGAAGUCAGCUUUCAAGUAGAAUUAAAUCCGUUUUAAAUAACUUAACACUUCUUGAGUCUCCUCCAUCAUCAUAUUUGUGCUACUUUAUAUUCCGGAUGUAUU
rnacentral:lncRNA from 1 species